CACAUGCAAGUCGAACGGCAGCACGGGAGCAAUCCUGGUGGCGAGUGGCGAACGGGUGAGUAAUACAUCGGAACGUGCCCAGUUGUGGGGGAUAGCCCGGCGAAAGCCGGAUUAAUACCGCAUACGACCUGAGGGUGAAAGCGGGGGAUCGCAAGACCUCGCGCAAUUGGAGCGGCCGAUGUCAGAUUAGCUAGUUGGCGGGGUAAGAGCCCACCAAGGCGACGAUCUGUAGCUGGUCUGAGAGGACGACCAGCCACACUGGGACUGAGACACGGCCCAGACUCCUACGGGAGGCAGCAGUGGGGAAUUUUGGACAAUGGGCGCAAGCCUGAUCCAGCCAUGCCGCGUGUGGGAAGAAGGCCUUCGGGUUGUAAACCACUUUUGUCAGGGAAGAAACGGCCUUUUCUAAUACAAAGGGCUAAUGACGGUAC
rnacentral:rRNA from 1 species